rnacentral:rRNA from 1 species
AACGCUAGCUACAGGCUUAACACAUGCAAGUCGAGGGGCAGCAUAAACAUUGCUUGCAAUGUUUGAUGGCGACCGGCGCACGGGUGCGUAACGCGUAUGUAACCUACCUCAAACAGGGGCAUAACACUGAGAAAUUGGUACUAAUUCCCCAUAACACUUUGGGAGGCAUCUCCUGUAGUUGAAAGUUCCGGCGGUUUGAGAUGGACAUGCGUUGUAUUAGCUAGUUGGUGAGGUAACGGCUCACCAAGGCGACGAUACAUAGGGGGACUGAGAGGUUAACCCCCCACAUUGGUACUGAGACACGGACCAAACUCCUACGGGAGGCAGCAGUGAGGAAUAUUGGUCAAUGGACGCAAGUCUGAACCAGCCAUGCCGCGUGCAGGAUGACGGCUCUAUGAGUUGUAAACUGCUUUUGUAUGAGGGUAAACCUAGAUACGUGUAUCUAGCUGAAAGUAUCAUACGAAUAAGGAUCGGCUAACUCCGUGCCAGCAGCCGCGGUAAUACGGAGGAUCCAAGCGUUAUCCGGAUUUAUUGGGUUUAAAGGGUGCGUAGGCGGUUUGAUAAGUUAGAGGUUAAAUGUCAGUGCUUAACACUGGCCUGCCUCUAAUACUGUUGGACUAGAGAGUAGAUGCGGUAGGCGGAAUGUAUGGUGUAGCGGUGAAAUGCGUAGAGAUCAUACAGAACACCGAUUGCGAAGGCAGCUUACCAAACUAUAUCUGACGUUGAGGCACGAAAGCGUGGGUAGCAAACAGGAUUAGAUACCCUGGUAGUCCACGCAGUAAACGAUGAUAGCUCGUUGUCGGCGAUACACAGUCGGUGACUUAGAGAAAUCGAUAAGCUAUCCACCUGGGGAGUACGUUCGCAAGAAUGAAACUCAAAGGAAUUGACGGGGGCCCGCACAAGCGGAGGAACAUGUGGUUUAAUUCGAUGAUACGCGAGGAACCUUACCCGGGCUUGAAAGUUAUUGACUGAUCUGGAAACAGGUCAUCCCUUCGGGGCAAGAAACUAGGUGCUGCAUGGUUGUCGUCAGCUCGUGCCGUGAGGUGUCGGCUUAAGUGC